GCCAGGUGUGGUGGCUCACACCUGUAAUCCCAGCACUUUGGGAGGCUGAGGCAGGAAGAUUGUUGGAGCCUGGGAGGUUGAGGCUGUGGUGAGCUAGGAUCUCACCAUUGUACUGCAGCUUAGGUGACAGCGUUAAGACCCUGUCUCAAAAAUAAAUGAAUCCCCCAUUAUUUAUUUAUAUAUUUUUAGAGACAGGGUCUCAUUCUGUCGCCCAGGCUGGAGUGCAGUGGUGAGAUCCUGGCUCACCACAGCCUCGACCUCCCUGGCUCAGGCAAUCCUCCCACCU
rnacentral:lncRNA from 10 species